rnacentral:rRNA from 1 species
GAUCCUGGCUCAGAUUGAACGCUGGCGGAAUGCUUUACACAUGCAAGUCGAACGGUAGAGGGGGCAACCCCUCGAGAGUGGCGAACGGGUGAGUAAUAUAUCGGAACGUGCCCAGUCGUGGGGGAUAACGUAGCGAAAGUUACGCUAAUACCGCAUACGAUCUACGGAUGAAAGCGGGGGAUCGCAAGACCUCGCGCGAUUGGAGCGGCCGAUAUCAGAUUAGGUAGUUGGUGGGGUAAAGGCUCACCAAGCCAACGAUCUGUAGCUGGUCUGAGAGGACGACCAGCCACACUGGAACUGAGACACGGUCCAGACUCCUACGGGAGGCAGCAGUGGGGAAUUUUGGACAAUGGACGCAAGUCUGAUCCAGCCAUUCCGCGUGCAGGAUGAAGGCCCUCGGGUUGUAAACUGCUUUUGUACGGAACGAAAAGGUUUCCAUUAAUACUAGGAGCUCAUGACGGUACCGUAAGAAUAAGCACCGGCUAACUACGUG